GAUGAACGCUGGCGGCGUGCCUAAUACAUGCAAGUAGAACGCUGAAGGGGGAGCUUGCUCUUCUGGAUGAGUUGCGAACGGGUGAGUAACGCGUAGGUAACCUGCCUGGUAGCGGGGGAUAACUAUUGGAAACGAUAGCUAAUACCGCAUGACAACAGUUAUUGCAUGAUAACUGUUUAAAAGGGGCAACUGCUCCACUACCAGAUGGACCUGCGUUGUAUUAGCUAGUUGGUGAGGUAACGGCUCACCAAGGCGACGAUACAUAGCCGACCUGAGAGGGUGGUCAGCCACCCUGGGACUGAGACACGGCCCAGACUCCUACGGGAGGCAGCAGUAGGGAAUCUUCGGCAAUGGACGGAAGUCUGACCGAGCAACGCCGCGUGAGUGAAGAAGGUUUUCGGAUCGUAAAGCUCUGUUGUAAGAGAAGAACGAGUGUGAGAGUGGAAAGUUCACACUGUGACGGUAUCUUACCAGAAAGGGACGGCUAACUACGUG
rnacentral:rRNA from 1 species